UACGUAGGGUGCGAGCGUUAAUCGGAAUUACUGGGCGUAAAGCGUGCGCAGGCGGUUUUGUAAGCCAGAUGUGAAAGCCCCGGGCUUAACCUGGGAAUGGCAUUUGGGACUGCAAGGCUUGAGUGCGGCAGAGGAGACUGGAAUUCCUGGUGUAGCAGUGAAAUGCGUAGAUAUCAGGAGGAAUACCGAUGGCGAAGGCAGGUCUCUGGGCUGACACUGACGCUCAUGCACGAAAGCGUGGGGGAGCAAACAGGG
rnacentral:rRNA from 1 species